UCUUAUGGAUAAGCAGGGAAAGUAGUUUCUUGAGGUGGAAUCUACUCCUGGUGAAGAUGCCAUGAA
rnacentral:pre_miRNA from 1 species